CCGAGGAGGAAACAUCCCAGCCUGGCUCUGCCCUGUGGAGCUCAGUGUGACCGAGGGAGGGGAAGCUGUGUGCUCUGAGGAGGGGCUGCACCUCCCUGGAGGAGGGACACGGCCUGCAGUCUGUCAUGAGGGCCCUGCGGGCCUGUGCAGCUUCCUGCCCCCGACCAUCCCCAGCACCGCACCCCACCGAGGUGGGGCAAGGAAGCAGAGAGGCCAGAAAAGCAGAAGCGAACACAGGAAAAUCGAGCCCUCUGGGGGGGCUGGACCUGUUCCACACAGAGGGCUUGGUGUGGCCGCAGGUGGUGUCUGUGCUGGAGAAAUGACCCCCAGGGUCUGGGCCGCAUGGCUGCCCUCUGCUGUGUUCCUCCUGCAGGCCCCAGGCUGUUUGGCCCUGAGCGGCCCCCGCACCGUGAGGGGCACCGUGGGGGGAUCCCUGAGCGUGCAGUGUCGGUACGAGAAGGAGUUCAGGUGGAAUGAUAAAUACUGGUGUGAAGACCCAUGUACGCGUCUGCUGAAGAACAAGAUCGUGGCGACCACGGGGUCAGAGAGAGAAGUGAGGAGGGGCCGCGUGUCCAUCAGGGACCACCCAGCCAACCUCACCUUCACUGUGACCUUGGAGAACCUCAAAGAGGAUGAUGGAGGCACAUACUGGUGUGGGAUCAACACACCAUGGCCACAAAGACAUUUGGACCCCAACUUUCAGGUUGUGGUGACUGUGUCCCCAGCAACUCUCCUUGCCAGACGGCUGCGCCUGUCUCCGAGGGAAGACCACCCGUCCCAGCUCACAGACCUUCCCCUUGUGCUGGUCACGUGGUCCUGGCUCCACCCACUUCCUUCUUGGGGUUCCCACUUUCUUAUUCUCACGUUCUCACCCGGGAGGGGCCUCAGCACCCCUUGUGAGUUCCUAUUUUAGAGAGAGGAACCGAGACCCCAUGGAGACCUCCGGGUGUGUCAGGGGAGGGGUUUGUCCCAUGGCCUCCAGGGCAGGCCCCGUUCUGGGGUGCCCACUCGACGUGUCUCUCUAGAUCUUUCUUUCUGCUCGUGUCCUCUUCCAGAGAGGACGCCCCUGUGGUCGCUGGAAACCUAGCCAACAGCCUGGGGGACUGAGUGGACAUUCUGGGCGCACCGCUACAACAAAACGCUAGGGACCAGUCUGGUAGCUCACCGACCACACAGCCCCCACAACCACACAGAAGAUCUUCGCCAGCACCCUGGGCCUGCCCUCCUCCCUGCCAGCCACCACCUUGCUCAGUACGACGUGGCCAGAGACGCCCGAUCUCCGCCAGCACCCGCG